GACGAACGCUGGCGGCGUGCUUAACACGUGCAAGUCGAACGGAAAGGCCCGCUUGCGGGUACUCGAGUGGCGAACGGGUGAGUAACACGUGGGCAACCUGCCCUCAGCUCUGGGAUAACUCCGGGAAACCGGUGCUAAUACUGGAUAUCGACUUCUGCCUCGCAUGGGGUGUUGUUGAAAGUUUUUCGGCUGGGGAUUGGCCCGCGGCCUAUCAGCUUGUUGGUGGGGUGAUGGCCUACCAAGGCGACGACGGGUAGGCGGCCUGGGAGGGCGACCGGCCACACUGGGGCUGGGACACGGCCCCGACUCCUGCGGGAGGCAGCAGUGGGGAAUAUUGCGCAAUGGGCGGAAGCCUGAAGCAGCGACGCCGCGUGAGGGAUGACGGCCUUCGGGUUGUAAACCUCUUUCAGCUAUGACGAAGCGAGAGUGACGGUAGGAGCAGAAGAAGCACCGGCCAACUACGUGCCAGCAGCCGCAGUAAAAC
rnacentral:rRNA from 1 species